GCUGGGUGUAGUGGCGCACACCUGUAAUCCCAGCUACUCGGGAGGCUGAGGCAGGAGAAUCACUUGAACUUGGGAGGUGGAGGCUGCAGUAAGCCAAGAUCGCCCACUGCACUCCAGCCUGGGCGACAGAGUGAGACCCUGCCUCAA
rfam:Pan troglodytes isolate Yerkes chimp pedigree #C0471 (Clint) chromosome 2A, whole genome shotgun sequence.